GAUCUCCCUGCGGGAGAGAGCGAUUCGCCAGAGCCUUGCGGCGCCGGCAAUCGUCGCCGAAGGCGCAACCGGCCCCCGGAAACGCUCAGGCAGAAGGACCGCAGGAUAAUA
rnacentral:ncRNA from 1 species